rnacentral:rRNA from 1 species
CCUACGGGAGGCAGCAGUGGGGAAUUUUGGACAAUGGGGGCAACCCUGAUCCAGCCAUUCCGCGUGAGUGAAGAAGGCCUUCGGGUUGUAAAGCUCUUUCGCAAGGGAAGAAAACUUAUGAUCGAAUAAAUCAUGAGGUUGACGGUACCUUGAUAAGAAGCACCGGCUAACUACGUGCCAGCAGCCGCGGUAAUACGUAGGGUGCGAGCGUUAAUCGGAAUUACUGGGCGUAAAGCGUGCGCAGGCGGUUUUGUAAGUCGGAUGUGAAAUCCCCGGGCUCAACCUGGGAACUGCGUUCGAAACUGCAAGGCUAGAGUGUGUCAGAGGGGGGUAGAAUUCCACGUGUAGCAGUGAAAUGCGUAGAGAUGUGGAGGAAUACCAAUGGCGAAGGCAGCCCCCUGGGAUAACACUGACGCUCAUGCACGAAAGCGUGGGGAGCAAACAGGAUUAGAUACCCUGGUAGUCCACGCCCUAAACGAUGUCAACUAGUUGUUGGUAGAGUAAAACUCUAUGAGUAACGUAGCUAACGCGUGAAGUUGACCGCCUGGGGGAGGUACGGUCGCGAAGUAGUAAACGUUACGAAGUAAGUUAGUUAGGCGUUGAGAGNGCGACGGACGACGACGAGGGAGGAGG